ACUGGCUCCUGUACGACGUACUUAAUGAGGUCAAAGAGUUUGCGGACUCGAAUUGCUAUUACCCCACCUAUUGGCCCGCCGCGUUGCUCGCCCCCGACCACUGCAAUCCCUACCGCCUGGUGGAGGAGACCCGCCGUGCCUUGGAAAACAGAGGUGGUGAAAUUCAGACAGAAUUUAGGUCAUUUACUAAAUCUGGGGAUUUGGUGUUGAGGAUAAAAAAUAUCGUGCUUGAGAGACCCUAAGAAAUGACCUCUUUGUUAGUGUCUUCCUAACAUUAUUUUUUAUCUGCGGCAACUAAGUCUCCUGGAAAGUGACGCCUGAAUUGUGUUUAAACUUCCUGCCUCGGGAUUUCCAAGGCUUGCGUGCGGUGUUGCCUCCACCAGGCGGAUGGGAUGAUGGGAUCCAAACCCGUUGCUGACUCCACAGAGUGGAAGGAACUGCCUGCACCUCCUUUGUUUCUGCGGUAACGUGCGGGGAGGAAAUUUAAGCCAUUGCUGCCAUCCGGGGUUGUGAGGACUGACCUGAAGGACCUUCCCUCCAUGAUGGUCACGGUGGAAUCCAUCCUGAUAACACAGAUGCUCCUCUCCAUGCUGACUUGGGCAACGAAAGCCACUGCCUCGCCACGGGAGUGAGAGGAACUGACCUGAACAUCGCCUUCCUGCUUGCUGUAGGGAAAGCCUCUGCUGCUGGCCCUGCUGGAGAAAGUCUACCGUCUACGUCAUUGUGCACCAGUACCCAAGACGGCCAGGCAGCUGGGAACACAAGCCACCACAGGUAAGAAAUCUUUACUGUAUUUUUGCCUUUAAUAUUACAGCGAUGUAUUUGGUAAGUUUCCUCCAAAUCUUUGUUCCCUAUACGCUAUUUGAUUAGUCUCUGAAACGAGAACUGCUCAUCGGUUUGUGUUGUUCAUUUCCUAAUUGUUACUCCGUGUGGAAGGAAGUCUGCACCCACGCGGUUAUUCUCCAAAAUGGCGCAUCGAGUCGGUUGUUCCCUGAAUCCCCUGCAAAGCCUUCUCUCUGUGAUGGCCACGGUGGAAUCUAACAUAAUGGCACAGCCGCUGGCGAGUGUUGGAGUCUGACUACUCUCUGGCCCUGAGCUCGAGACUUCAGAUGAAGCCAGACAACCGAAUAUCUCUCCUGCUCCUCCCCGCAGUGCUUGCCUUGCCUUGCCUUGCCGAGUGUACAAGGUUGUGCACAACUAUAGCGGCGGAAUGGAUCACAUUAUACACUUGGGUGCCGAUGAACACUGCUAUUACCCGACAUACUGGCCCGUCUCGUUGCUCGCCCCUGACCACUGCAACCAACACUGCCUUCGAUAGAGCCUUUGCUGCCACCAGGGGUGGGUGGAGCCUGGCCUGAACCUCCCCUUCAUGCUGUUCCUGCUGGAGAAAGUCUACCUCCCCUUAAUGAUCCUGCUGGAGAAAGUCUACCUUCCCUUCCUGGUGAAUUCAGUUUGAACUUCAACCCCUGCGUAUU